rnacentral:rRNA from 1 species
UACGUAGGGUGCAAGCGUUAUCCGGAAUUAUCGGGCGUAAAGAGCUCGUAGGCGGUUUGUCGCGUCUGCUGUGAAAACUGGAGGCUCAACCUCCAGCCUGCAGUGGGUACGGGCAAACUAGAGUGCGGUAGGGGAGAUUGGAAUUCCUGGUGUAGCGGUGGAAUGCGCAGAUAUCAGGAGGAACACCGAUGGCGAAGGCAGAUCUCUGGGCCGUAACUGACGCUGAGGAGCGAAAGCAUGGGGAGCGAACAGG